CGAUGGAUUGCCCGCUUUGGUUCCGCCAUGACGCGCGGAUUAAAAGGGAACACGGUGCGGACUACCCAUCAGGGGCCAACGCCGUGGCUGCCCUCGCAACUGUAAGCGGCGAGCGCUUCGUCACCAUGUCACUGGAUCGAUCGGGUCCGGGAAGACGACGCAGCGCAUGAUCAGCCGUGAGCCAGGAGACCUGCCCAGGCAACAGACCAUGA
rnacentral:ncRNA from 2 species